AAAAGAGUGAGGCUGAAAGCCGGUGUGAUUCCCUCAAUCCAUGCCGCUCCAGCCGCAGCUUCGGGCUCAGCCACCGGCGGCAGUGGAGAUCACGGACCGGUCAGAGAUUCAACGAUUCGGAAACGUGAACUGUGCACUUUGCUGGGAAAUACGGCACGUUUUGAAGCCACAGAUGCGCCUACAGCCAGUGAAGACUCGGAGCAAGAGGCCGUCGCUUCACUGGCUUCUCAGCCAAAAUCUGUGCUUCACUUUGGCUCACAGUGUCACAUAAGACCUCCUUAUCGUUCAUCAGGUAGUGUGACUUAACUCUUAUAUCUAGCUUUAGCUCU
ensembl:lncRNA